rnacentral:lncRNA from 10 species
UAUUAUCCCUAUUUCACAGAUGGCAAAACUGAGGUCCAGAGACUUUAAGUGACCUACCCAAAAUUACAGUCAUGAGCAGAGGCACUGGAAUGUAGGGCCUUGACACUCUACCUCACGUGGUCCUCUUUCCUGUUUUGGGUAGUUCUCCACUACCACUACUCAUUUCUGAUGCUGGAAAGGCUGUGUUUUAUACAUUUCUGUUUCUGGCUUGGAACGAAACACUCUGGGUCUCUGCUUGAUCAGUGUCCCCUCUAAACUGCACCUCACUACAGUAGGGAUGGCAUAAGAUACUUCUUUACACAGCAUCUUUUUGUUCCCACCUCACCCCCAGAGCUGUAAUAGGUAGAGCCAGCCAAAUGUCAAAGGGAUGAUUUGUCUUGUCACCACUAGUUUCCCUUUUCUCUGCCUUGUAUGUAACAGGAAUAUUCUUUAGUUCCUCCUUAUGUUCUAAAGCACCUCCCCAACCUAAAAAUAGAAGAGGAGUUGUGGGUCAUUUACACUUUAGUGUGAAUUUGCCCUUGUGACUUUGCCAAGGCUGUUGUGCCUAACCCUUUCAAUCUAACAGCAGAAUGAGAGUCUCUGGACUAUCCUGGCUCCUUCCCUGAGAAGAAUGAACUGGGAAUUGUUGGUCUAGACAUCAAGACUACCAGAGACCUAUUGCUCAGAGAUGUUUGGGCUGUACAAUUUCUGUAGAUAUGGCAUCUGGAGCAGCCUUUUCUAAGCAAUGGCAUUAUCAUUCCAGGCUCUCUCGCUCUUUCCAUCUCUCCACCAGGUGGACUCUUGCCCUCCACCCCUUCCAAUUUGUCAGUGAUUCAGAGAACAUUCUCCAUCCUUCCAAUGAUUACAUUCCUUCAUCUUGCUGGGGCGCCAAUUCAGUGAUGGAGCGGCUCUUGGGAGCAGCCUUGGCUUAUAGUGCAGCUCUCUGCUACCUUCAACAGGCUGGUAUUCGGGGUGCUUAGAUGUGACUGGUUGUACGCACGUGUGUGUAUGUGCAUGUGUGUACAGCAGUAAGAGCUUUCGAGGUAGAUACUUGAGGAAGCCUCAGACAUCUAGCCCCAUUACUGGGGCAAUGUCUUACUUGGGUUUUUCCAGAAACAGACCUGGAGACCAGGAUUCAAGUGCCAGUGGUAUAUUUGGGAUGUGAACCCUGCAAUGCUGGUAGGAGAGUGGAGAAGUGAGGCAAGGAAAGGAAGGCCGUCAAGGGGCGUGUUAGGAGGUCAUUCACCACCGCAGGUAGCCCGCUGGGGACCUCUGGGAGCAAGUGUGGCGCACAAGCCUCAGCAUUACUGCCCUGUGCCUUGAGGAGUAAGGGAUAAGGAUUUUCCCCACCAGUUCCCUGUAGUCCUUGGUGAGAGCUUCUGGGGUGGAGGUUAAGGUCUUUAGGUCAGAGAAAUUUUCUUUAGUUUCGGAAAAAUCUUUCAGGCCGAGGUCCAGACACUCACUGGAACACACUGAAGUGGUUAGGUCCAAGGGCUGUAGGCAGAGCUCCCAUAUCCAUCUGCAGAGGUGUUUCAGGUGGAAGGAGUGGAGACAGCCUUCUCUGCUCCACACUGUCUUCAGCAAGGGUUUCUGUAUCUGUGCAUUGAGGAUUAAAUUAUUCACAUGGUCAGAGAAGCCCAUCACCACUGAUAGUUAUUGUAGGUAUGGAAAACUAACGACUAAGAAGGGAGAAAAAUAUACCAAGCAGUUGGCUUGGCUGAACACAAGUAAAGACUCUUACAGUCACUGGUGUGAACUGCUUAUUAUCAAUGUCUGAUUACAGUGCUGCAUACUAAUGAUUAUGCAUGUCAUUAAAUGUGUCAGAUUAACUUUGUUAUAAAAUUUAUGACAACAUUAAAUUUUAUUCACAUG